rnacentral:lncRNA from 1 species
UCCUAGAGGAAGUUGCAUCUACUAGAACCUUGAGUGAUGAGAAGGUGCUCACUAGAAAUGUUCCAGGCCUGGUGGACACACAUGAAAAGACCAGAGCUACAGAACUUGGUACUUCUACCAAGAAUGAACACCUAAGCUGCUGUUGUUGGGGCCAUGACAAUCGCUGGGGAGACCACUACAGGACAAAUAGAGGAUAGACUGGAUUGUGGAGAAACCCCGUCAGGAUUUUGGUAACUGAAAGGAUAGGUUAGAAGGAAGAAAGGAAUCCUUAAGGAAAAUACCUUGGCACGAGCAAGAAGGGACUGAAAGCAGCCUGAAUGAGAGGGAGAAGAUACAAAGCCUACAAACAAAGGCAAGAACUGCCACUGCAGUUUAC